GUGCAAACAAUCAGUUUGGACCCAAACUUAAUCGAAUUAACCGAAUAUCCGAAAUGCUAAAAUUUGAGAUCUGAACUGAAGUUAUGGAUAGAACCAAACUGAACCGACUAAUUCAGUUCGGUUUGGUUUUUCAGUUUUCACCCUGUACAGCAAGCCUAUUCAGCCCUUAAACAAAUUAUUAAUCACAUAAACCCAUCAAUGUUUUUGUUAAGAAAUCAAAGUGUGUGGUUGAGAGGGUGGAGCUGUG
rnacentral:misc_RNA from 1 species